GGAGAGAGCAAGAGAGAGUAGUGAUGAGGGAGAGAAUGGUUAUCAGGGAAAGAAGAAGAAACUGAAAAAGGAGAGGAGAGGCAAAGGCAAACAGAAAAAAAGGAGUGAAGAAAAAUGGAGGGAAGUCUUAAGUAAAGUAUUAUAGGAGAAUUUGAAUGCAACCAGGAGCCUAAGUCAGUUUGCUUCUGAUAGGAACAGAGGAGGCCCUCGCCCCGCCCUUUUAUCACCCAAAUUUCUUCUUCUUCCUCUCCUUAUCGGACCUUGCAGAGAGAGGGAAAGGGCAAUCCUCCCUGAGAUAUGAGCCCACACAAAGAGAACAACCAACACAAAAAGACAUGAAAGAGGAGGAGCACAUCAAUAAAUUCAUAUAAAAAUUCAUACAAAAAAAAACAUUGGCAACUGAGGCUGAACAGCCCUUCACAGGAACCAAAGACACAGGCCCAUCGGAUUUGGAAUAUUGGAACGGGUUUGGGAUGAACGCUGGACAUUCAGGCUCAAGGAAACGGAUUAACGCUGGAUUGAGUGGCUUCCUCUUGGCCAACAGACCGCUCACAGCUCUCCUCUGACAGAUUACAUUCAUUUAAUUCAACAAUGGCCCACACACAGGUGAAACAGGAGCCACAUGACCUCCCCAGACUGCCCUGUGUGGCCAGUGUGAAACUCAGUGGAGAUCAAAAUGGCCAAUCAGCUCGGGCAAGAUCGGCCAGACAAAAAGCCUUCUGAGUUCCGGAUAGUAUUUCAGAGUUUUUUUUUUUUCCCCCUCCGUUUC